rnacentral:rRNA from 1 species
UGGGGAAUAUUGCGCAAUGGGGGGAACCCUGACGCAGCCAUGCCGCGUGAAUGAAGAAGGCCUUAGGGUUGUAAAGUUCUUUCGGUAUUGAGGAAGGUUGAUGUGUUAAUAGCACAUCAAAUUGACGUUAAAUACAGAAGAAGCACCGGCUAACUCCGUGCCAGCAGCCGCGGUAAUACGGAGGGUGCGAGCGUUAAUCGGAAUAACUGGGCGUAAAGGGCACGCAGGCGGUUAUUUAAGUGAGGUGUGAAAGCCCUGGGCUUAACCUAGGAAUUGCAUUUCAGACUGGGUAACUAGAGUACUUUAGGGAGGGGUAGAAUUCCACGUGUAGCGGUGAAAUGCGUAGAGAUGUGGAGGAAUACCGAAGGCGAAGGCAGCCCCUUGGGAAUGUACUGACGCUCAUGUGCGAAAGCGUGGGGAGCAAACAGGAUUAGAUACCCUGGUAGUCCACGCUGUAAACGCUGUCGAUUUGGGGGUUGGGGUUUAACUCUGGCGCCCGUAGCUAGCGUGAUAAAUCGACCGCCUGGGGAGUACGGCCGCAAGGUUA